AUUUGCUGACCACAACUGCCUUCUGAAGUUCAGCCUUCCUUCCUCCCUCAGGAGUCAAAAUCACUUUAAAUAAUUUAUGACUCUUGAAACUCAGCCCUCCUUUUUUAUAUUUCCUUCCUCCCUUCUCCCUGAUUUCCCAGGCAUGUUCUCACUGCUAGUGAGUGAAGGAUGGAGAGACACAG